AAGUGUGCGUGAAUAAGGUUAUAUAAAAUAUAUUAUAAAAAGACAGUAAUAGUUAAAUAAUAAUUGUAAUAAACUUUAAAUGUCGUUUCUUUGUUUACAGAGAAACAAAUUUUAGUUUAUUUUAUAAAGAAACCCUGAAAAUAUCAUUAUAAAACGACAUUUGUUGUUACAAAAAACAAAAUGAACCGGCUACAAUUUGAAUUUACAGUGAUAGCAUCAAGUGAUGGCAAAUCUAAUGUACUAGCCAUAACCUCUCUAACUACAGAAGACGGAAAAUGUUUUGCGAUACCAGACGAGUUGAAACCAAUAAAUAACCAUAAAGAAAUUACAAAGACGAGUACUUAUAUAAAGAUUAAAAAUAGCCUAAAGAAAA